rnacentral:lncRNA from 1 species
ACUUGUUUCAUAUCUUUCAACAUGACGAAAACGUGAUGUCGGGAGACUCACAGGAGGAGGAGGAAGAGUUGAAGAAGCAUGAUGUCCACUUCCAACAAUUACCAAAGAAUGGAAUACAUUUUCACCUUGAUCAGAAUGUAGAAAAUCUUCUUAAAACCAAGAGGGAUUUUAAUCCUUAAAAAGAAUUCAAUUUAGUUGAUUUUAAACCUUAAUUAUUAACCUAAAAUUUAAAUCAAGGCUGGGAUCCAUAUUUUCGAUUAAAACUUUUACGGGGGAUGCUAUAAUCAAAUUUGAAUCUAUUUUCGGUGGGUAAGGCUUUUACCAAUUACAGUCUUAUGAAACUCUUGGAUCCCUUGAGAUUCAUUGAAUCUUAUCAAUGGAAUCUUUCAUCUUGGAUUAUUCUCUCACUUUUGUGACUGGGAUGCUAUUAGGGUGCAAAGUUCUCCUUGGAUGUGGCUUUCCCUCUUCUGAUGUGUAAUGGGUUGAGUCUUUUCUAUAAAUAGGAAGUGAGUGACUCCCAUUAAUGUAAGAACCAUAAUGGAACCCAUUUUGAGAGAUUAGUUUAGUGAUAGAAUUUAGAUUACCCACUUGUAAUCUUGCUACUCUAAUGUAUCUUUAAAUGAUCUUAUUUACUCCUUGUGUUCUUCAUGAUUGAUUGAUUCACCUUCAUCUUUACAAUUCCACACAUGUCAUCAUCAUUGGGUCACUACAAUUGGUAUCAGAUCGAGUGUUUUUGAAGUGUGCUUGAAGUUUUCAAGAAUUUGAUCCAUGAUGACAACAUAAUUUGGUGAAUCUCAAAUUUGUUGUAACUUCUUCAUUUUGGAAGGUGUUUUUGUUCUAGAAAUCGAAUUGUUCUUUGAUCUUCAUUCAAAUUUGAUUUUCCCUCUCUAUAAUUCAUUUGAUUUUUGCUUUCUCUCUCCAGAAUUUAUCACGAAAUCACUUUCUCUCUCUAAAAUUUUGAUCAAUUUUUAUUUUUCUCUCUAGAAUUCAUUCAUAUUUUACUUUCUCUCUCUAGAGAUUUCAUUCAUAAUCACUUUCUCUCUAGAGAUAUCCAAAUUCUUAUGAUCUUUGUUGUAAUUGAUCAAAGAUGGUGUAUUUGGCGAAGGUUUUUCGUUAUGAUGAGAUACACUUCAAGUACGAAUGAAACAGGAAAUAAAUGACACAAGAAUUACUCCAAAUGUUCCUUUCACCAAAAACAGAGGUUUUGUCUUCACCAAGAAGACGGGGUUUGCCACAAACAAAAUUGACACAUAGCCACGAACAUAAGCACUCGACCUCUCUACAUUAGGGUUUUCCUUAAUGUAGUAUAUAUACUAAUCUAUACAUGUAUAUCCCUUGAUUGACGAGAUUGUAUCUAAUAUAUACUGAGAANNNNNNNNNNNNNNNNNNNNNNNNNNNNNNNNNNNNNNNNNUAUAUAUAUAUAUAUAUAUAUAUAUAAUAACUACCGAACAUACAAAAGAUUAACAGCUACCAGAUGACGUUGUUGAACUUGUUAAGUUGGUGUUGGCGAUUCAACUUGGAGACUAGUAGAUGUUGACGCUGAUGAAUCAAUAAGUUAUGUGUUUGAAUUAUCAUAUCGUAAGGUGUAACCUAUAAUCUCCUCUAUCUGAUGUUGUCAAAGCUAAUAUUUAAUGAAUUCUUUGGCUUCUACUCCACAAAUUCUUUUAACUUUUCAGCUUUAACAAAUACGUUUAACUCUUCAACUUUAGCGAGUGCUUCCUUGAGAAUGAGAGUCACUUCCCGAUGAUGUUGUUGACGAAGAGCUAAUAAUGUUGAUGUCAGUUUAACAACCCGUUGGAAUGUGUUUUACCAUGAUCCUUAACUCCCCCUUGGAAUGUGUUUAACCAAGAUUCCUUAUCUCCCCCUUUUUGACAUUAGCAGCUAAACUUCAAGCAGAAUAGAAUAUCAACUUGUAGUCAAGUAAGAGUGUACCGUCUCUUGGGAGCAUGGGUUACAACUACCAUUCUAUGACAUAAUAUUUUGAGAUCUCAUCAGCAUGUGGUUUCAUAAGUUAAAUCAUAAAUCUCUUUUAUUAGAAGAAAAAUGGCAAGAAUGGAUAGGUGCGUGUAAUAAAUCAUGGUAAAUCAUAUAUCCAUCGGCACAGAUUUGUCAAGUUCUCAUCAGCGUAUGGUAUAUUAUGCUCAAUCAUAAAAAUUUAAAGAAGAAUAUAAGGGCAAGAAUGGAUUGAUGCGUGUGAUAGCCUACGAAACAUAGACUAACCAUCGGCAUAGAGUUUCAAACUUUUAUUAGUGUGUAUUUUUACAUAGUAAAUCAUCAAUCUCUGUUAAGAAGACUUGUGGAAGAGAAGUAGUAUGUCUCAGACAUGCUGAGGUGAAAUCAGCGUGAAUUAUUGACAGUUAUCAACAAGAAGGGUUUUACACAUUGCAUCAGAGAGUUAAUUGUAGUCUAGAAUCAAAGAUUCAUCGUUAAAUCAUAGUGAUACCUUCUCUACCUCUAACUAGGAGGUCAGGUACAUGAACAACCCCAUUGUCAUCUAGCGACCUGACACGUAUCUCUUAUGUUGAUGAAUAUGAAAUCAUUGUAAGCAAUUGGGUUAUGCUCAAUCUUUCAACAGAACUUGAGACUUGAUGCAUACGUCAAGCAUGCUUACAGCGACAGUGAUAGGGUGAAGUAAAGAUGAUUUAAUUAAAUAUAAUAAAUAGCCUAGGAUUUUUAUAAAUAUUUCAUUUGAACUAUGCUAUCUCACUUCAAAGUGUUUAGACCAGGCUAGACAAUCAGUGUGACAUGGUGACUCAAUGUUCUCAGCAGAUGGUCUUGCUGAUGUGUAACAACCUAAAUUUUUACAUAAAAUUUUUAUCUUUAAAUUUCAUAAAUAUCAACCACAAGGUGUCCGAAAAUCCCAUUAGAUAGCCAUAUUAUUUUAAAACUUAGAGUACGAAAACUAAUUGUGAGAACACUAGAGAAUGCACGCUGCGCCAUCAAACUGAGCCCUUGCCCUUAUCAUUAGAAGUAACUGAAACAUUCAAUAAAACUAUACGCAUAAGCUUAGUGAGUUUCCCAAAACACACGAAUCAUGUAAUCACAUAAUACCAUGCACACAUACAAAUAUAUAAGUUUGCCAUGGACCCCCUCCAUGGUCUUCAUUGAAAUGUCAUGGGUUACCGCAUGGUCUUAUAUCCCUGAGCCAUGGGCUCCUUAAAUAGUCUUGCCAAAUGUCAUGGGCUCCUCCCAUGGUCUACACAUAGGUACACUUAUAAAUCCAAUAGAAAAAAUUUACAUAUUUCAAUACAAAUCAUCUCGUAACCAAUAAUGGGACGGCCUUGGUGCCUUCAACCCAUGAGUGUUGUGACAAGACUCACCUCAGUCUGUUGAACACAAAACCUACUCGUCUAACAAUCUGAAACCACACACUAAACAAAGAUAAAAUUAACCCUAAAUUAGUAUUAUAGAACAACCUAAUCAAAUACUCUAAACACUUAAGCUUAAGUCCUUCCAUACUGACCAAAAAGUCCCAUCUCUCAAUUGAGUUUUCAUUCCUACUCUUACUAGUUGUUUAUAUUAAUCCUCCUCUUCAAUGCUUUCUUUAAAGUGAAAAAGGGCCUUCCUCUUGCUAAUGGGCCUAAGAUCCAAGAUAAAAUCAUUAAUGGGCCAAAUGGAUCAGUAAGGCCCAACCAAAAACCUAUUGCCCAAAACACAAUAUCAGCCCAAAACUCUAAAUGGGACUAGGCCCAAAGUUGAAUAAGGCCCAAUAAGGUUACAAACCCAAAACAAGGCCCAAAGCCAUUUGAGUGUGUAAGCCCUGCGUACCACUCCAGUACGCUCAACAUACUAGCCCCUUAUGCAGUACACGCUGUGUAUACGAUACUACACAUGACGUACAAGUCAGACAUGCACAAACGACCUAUAAGUAAUUAAUACUUGGGAUUUCAAUGUCAAACUUUAGAUCUGAGUCCAUUAAGAUUUCCUAAGGCAUAAAGCUAGAAACUUUAUGCCCUUGCAUGUCAUGAGUGACCCCUAUACUUCAUGCUUCUCAUUUAGACCUCAUUUAAGAGCUUUAACUUAUGCAUAAGAUCAAAACAACCUACAAGAUGGCACCUUUAUGCAUCAAACAUGCUCAAAUAGCUUGGAUCUAGCAAUCCUAAUCUUUGGAGUUGCUCAAAUCAUAAGAGAAGGUCCAAAACCAAAGAGGGACUCCAUAACAAAACCCUAGCUAAAACAAUCAAAAGUGAUGACAAGGUCAUGACUUUAUACCUCUAGAAGUUCCUCAAGAUGAACUAGAUGCAAGAUCUAGAAGCUCAAUGACACCCAAGGCUUGAUCACCACCUGCUUCCUCUUGAAUAGACUCAAAAAUGGCCACCAACACACUUCUAUGCUCAAGAAUCAAACUCACAAAGAAAUCUAAUAUAAGUCUCAAGCACGAAAAUUAAGGUUUGGUGUUUAGUCACGUACACCCCCAAUAACCAUUGGUACGCCCAACAUACGUGCCGAACAUUCGCGAUCCACCCAACCAUAGUAAGCUAAGUGUAAUCCUUAAGUACGCCCAACGUACUAAAGGAUCAACUUUUACAAUGAAUUUCAUGCUACGGGUAAGAAGUGUAAACACCCUAUUCUUGACCGUUAAAAAUAUCCCCCACUUGAACUACACUUUUUCCUCGAGGUCUGCUGAUAUGAAAAGAUCCGGAUAUUGCUUUCUCAUCUCGUCCUCCGGCUCCCAAGUCCAUUCGGAGCCUCUCCGAUGCUGCCAUUGCUCCUUCACUAGCUUCACCAAAGAGCCUUAAUCUCCCUAUCCGACACUACAAUGGGUUUCUCAACAUAAUUAAGGCUUUCAUAUACCUAAAUAUCAUCCAAUGAAAUAACUGCAGACUCAUCUGAUAGACACUUCGAGAGCUGAGACACAUGGAAGGUGUUAUGGAUCUGACUGAGCUCCUCCAGAAGGUCCAAUCAAUAUGCAAGCCUGCCGACUCGGGCAGCAAUCUUGAACGAACGAUAAAUUAGGGUCCCAGCUUGCCCCUCUUCCAAAACCGAAUGACACCCUUCCAAGGUGACACCUUCAUCAAAAAAAAUCUCCCACCUAAAACUCGAGAUCUAAACGACGCCGGUCAGCAUAACUUUUUUGAUGGCUCUGCACAACUCGCAACUUGUCACACACCUGCUGAAUCAACUUUGUGGUAUUAAGCACCACCUCAGUGCUUCCCAUAACUCGAUGUCGAACCUCCCCCAACAAACUGGAGUCCUACACCUCCGACCAUACAACAACUCAAAUGGGAGUCGAUCAAUACUAGCAUGAUAAUUAUUGUUAUAUGAUAACUCUUUUAGAGGGAGGUAUGUAUCCCAACUCCCACCGAAAUCCAAUACGCAUGCCCGAAGCAUAUCCUCAAGCGUCUGGGGCGUCCGUUCGCUCUAUCCAUCGUUCUCGUGGUGGUAAGCAGUGUUGAAAUGUAAUUGAGUACCCAACUCCUCAUAAAACUUCCUCCAAAAUCUGGAGGUGAAACGAACAUCGCGGUCCGAGACCAUAGAUAUCGGCACUCUGUGCCUGACCACCACCUCCCGCACAUAAAUGACUCCUAAUUUCUCGGCGGAGAUACUCUCGAAAAUCGAAAUAAAAUGCGUACUCUUGGUCAACCUGUCCACAAUAACCCAACUGGAAUCCACACCCCGAGCCGUCUUAGGUAGCUUCGUGAUAAAAUACAUGGUGAUAUCAUCACAUUUCCACGUGGGAAUAGGUAGCGGCUGCAUAUUUCCGUGAUGCCUCUGAUGCUCGGAUUUGACCUUCCUGUAGGUCAAACACCGCUCGACAAACCAUGCAACCUUUCUCUUCAUGCAGGGCCACCAAUAUCUCAAUCUCAGGUCUCAGUACAUCUUGGUGGCCGCUGGAUGAAUAGAAAAUUUGGACUUGUGUGCCUCCUCCAAUAUUCUUUGGCUAACACCCCCAGAUGUCAGAACCCAAACUCUACCACAAAGAGUCAAUAACCCGCGACUAUCUCGAACUAACAACGAAAUUUGCCCCCGAAUCCGCUCGAUCAUCUAGUUCUACCUUUUUAAACCCUCCACACGUGCCUCCUUAAUCAUAUCCAAUAAAGGUGAAAUCACUAUCAUCCUCAAGCAAACAUCUCAAAUCGGAGCAUUUUCCGUCUUACGGGUCAAAGCAUCGGCUACCACAUUGGCCUUCCCGGGAUGGUAAAAGAUCCCGCAGUCGUAAUCUGUAACUACAUCUAACCACCUCCUCUGAUGCAUAUUCAAAUUAUGUUGAUCUAUCAAAUACUUCAAACUCUUGUGAUCGGUGAAGAUGGUACAUCAUACUCCAUAUAGAUAAUGCCUCCAAAUCAUAAGGAAAAAUACCACUGCCCCUAAUUCCAAAUCAUGAGUGGGGUAAUUCACCUUAUGAGGCUUCACCUACCUCAAGGCAUAAACAAUCACAUGCCCCCUUUGCAUCAGCACAACUCCUAACCCAGAAAUAGAAGCGUCGCAAUACACUACAAAAGCAUCCAAUCCCUCAGGUAGAGCUAGAAUCGAGGCCUCACAUAAUUUCAGGCUCAAUGUCUCAAGAGCUGACUGCUAAUCUAGACACCACCAAAAUGUCACACUCUUCUUGGUCAAACGGGUCAACGGUACAACAAUUUUGGAGAAAUCAGGAAUUGAUCUUCGAUAAUACCUUGCUAAUCCCAAGAAACUCUUGAUCUCGGAUGCGUUUUUCGGAACCUCCCAACGCACUACUACCUUAGUCUUGGCAUGAUUUGCCAAAAUACCCUCUUGGUAGAUGAUGUGCCCUAUAAACUGCACCUCACGCAAUCACAACUUGUAUUUGGAGAAUUUGGCAUAAAGCCUCUCCCUCCUCAAGGUCUCCAAUACCUCUCUCAAAUGCUGCUCGUGAUGAUCCUUGGUCUUAGAAUAGACCAAAAUAUCAUCGAUGAAAACAAUCAUAGACUGAUCCAACAUCGGUCUAUAAACCCAGUUCAUGAGAUCGAUGAACGUUGUUAUAACAUUUGUGAGCCCAAAUAGCAUCACCACAAACUCAUAAUAACCAUAACGAGUUAUGAACGCCAUCUACGGUUUGUCUUCAUCCCGGAUCCUCAUUGAUGAUACCCUGACAGAAGAUUAAUUUUAGAAAACCACGAUGCACCCUGAAGCUGAUCGAACAAAUCAUCAAUCUUCUAAAGCGGAUAAUGGUUCUUCACCAUCAGCUUGUUCAGGUCCCGAUAAUAAAUGCACAUCCUAUGCGACUCGUCCUUUUUCACGAACAGGAUCGGUGCUCCCUAAGGGGAACUGCUCGGACGAAUGAAUCCCUGGUCUAGCAAUACUUGAACAUGCAUAGACAACUCGUGCAUCUCAGGCGGAGCUAGAAGAUACGGUGCCUUAGCUAUCGGAGUCGCAUCAAACACUAAAUCAAUAUGGAACUCCACUUGCCUCUCAGGAGGCACCCCAGGCAACUCCUCUUGGAAUACAUUAGGAAAAUCUCGCACAAUCGGUACCCUACUCAUAUCUAGCAUAGCCUCCACCCUCGUAUCCGAAACAAAAAUCAAAAACCCAAAACAACCCUGCUGAAGGAGUCUCCUAUCCCUCGCAGCCUAACAAAUAGUUGGCCCUUGCGAGCCUAUCUCUCUAUGAAUAUCUAGUUCUCCCUCACUUAGGGUUCGAACCCUCACUAACUGACACUCGAAAUCUAUCAUGGCCCCAUUGGGCCCCAACCAAUCCAUCCCGUUGACCACCUUCAAUCCUCACAAAGGAAUCAAAACCAAAUCGAUAGGAAAAAUCUCUCCCAACAUAUUCAGAACACUCCUCCGAAAUACUCUCCUAGUACUCACGGUGCGGUCGUCCACAAUCACCACCUCAAGUGGGGAAUCCAAAGUCCUCAGAGCAUCACGAAACUUCUUGCUGAGUGCAAGAGAUACAAAUGAUCGGCUAGCCCCCAAAUCAAAAAGAAUCUAAGCCGAAAAACCAUUGACCAAAAAGGUCCCUAUAUAAAAUCAUAAAAGCAUAAUCAUAAUAAUAAAAUAAACGAGACAUGAAUAGAUCACAUACCAGUCAUGAUGUCAGGCGCUACUCGGGCGUCGUCGGUAUUCAGCUGAAAUGCACGACUCUUCACCACAUGAGCUUCCGCCUUGAUCGAGCGACCAUCAGUAAUCCUCAUCGUGGUGGGCACAUGCGCCACCACUGCUCCUCCUCCUCUAACCAACCUCAUACAAUCCACUUUUUUAUGACCGGUUUGGUUGUAGUGGAAAGAAAUCCAUCCUUUCUUGGUGCAAUCCAGGCUCAUGUGACCCGGCUGGCCAGACGCAUAACAUGUUGAGCAUGUUGCUCGGAAGGCUCCACUGUGUGGCUUAUCGUACUUGGCACAACGGUAACGACCUUGCAGGCCCCUGCUGUGAGUAUCGGAGGUCUUAUUCUUCUUGGCACAAGCCACUAGCGCCUGAACCUGCUCCAGCUUCCGCUUCAUGCCGAGCUCUAACUCAAUUUCCCGUUCCCGAGCCUUCUUCAGCAUCUCAUUCAGGGUCUUGCACCCCGAAAAGCUCUCAAAUUCGUUGAUAUCAUCCCUCUAUAUGGAAUGAUACCUCGUCUUCUUCAUCUCCUCAUCCACAUCAUACUGCGGGACCAAUAGUGGUGGUGAUUUCCGCCAUAGUCUUGGUAGUCUACUACAAAUCCUGGAACUCUCUCACCAAACGUUGCACCUCAAUGGAUGGUGCAAGCUCCUAAUCAAACCUCCUCAUAAAAUCCUCCCAACACAUCUCAGCCACACCCACGGAUCUCACCUCUUGGGUCCCUUCCUCCUACCAAUCUCAUGCUUGAUCCCUCAACAUACAAGAUGCAAACACCACCUUUGUCGGGUUGGGGCAAAAUCUUGUGCGUUGAGCAUUCUCCAUGUCUGCCACCCAACGUCGACUAGUGAUUGGAUCCCUGAUCCCGAAGAACUCAGGUGCUCCACACGCCUUAAAAUCCCCGAACGAGGGAGCUCGGGCCCCAAUUUGGCAUGCAACAAUCUCUACUCGGAAACACCUAAUCCGCUCCUCCGUGAUCUCCAUGAUGUCUUCCUUUAUGGUACCAAAAAUCACCAGGUGGUGACAAGGAUGCCACGAGUAACCUCGAUUGCGAUAAGAUCGCGCAGCCUCUCACCAAUGGGCUCUGCACCAGAGCCUAAACCUAAUCUUGAACCUGAACCUGAACCUCGCAUGAUCAUCACCAUCCUUAAUUGAAAAUAUCUCAACUAACAAAGAUAUAGAAUUCAAAAUAGAUUCCUCCUCACCAGACUCCUAAUAAAUAUCAGGUAUUUCAUUGAUUCGGGUAGACAUCCUAUGCUUUCAGUAGUACGGGCCCAAUACUACCUUCCAUACCUACUUGUACCUUCCCAAGGCCAUACAUGAUAUCCCUAAAUCAUCCAAUCACCAAUCAUGACUCAUAAACACAACACUAACUUAGAUCCUAGUCUGCUCUAGGAUUCUCAACCCUCACCAAACCAGAAACUCAGAUCAAUCAUAGCAGGUUGCCCUAUGCAUGCAUGUUAUACACAAAGAGAAUCGUAUAGACUGUCAAAUAAAGCUUCUACCCAAAACCACAACCAAACAAGGAACAAGAAUAAGAUAGAUUCCCUCAUUCUAGGGCUAUGUAAUCCUAAGCAUGUACAAAUUUGAAAGAAUACACUUAGAAAAUAGUUCAUGCAACAUUAAUUGCCAUAUAUACUAUAGCAUGGCUAAAACAUUGGCACCACUGACUUGAGCAUGGCUGAUUACACGCAUCGCAUUCUCACCUUUUUCUUACAAAAUUGUUUUCAAGAAAUUGAACUUUGGUUUCUUUUUGAAAAACAAUUUGUUACCAUUUCCUCAAUUUCAAUUUUGACACACCCAGAAGUGUGCCUGAAUCCCUCAAACUAAGGCUCUAAAACCAACUUGUAACAGCACAAAUUUUUACAAAAAAAUUUUAAAUUUUAAUUUCAUAAAUAUCAACCACAAGGUGUCCAAAAAUCCCAUUACAUAGCCAUAUUAUUUUAAAACUCAGAGUACGAAAACUAAAUGUGAGAACACUGGAGAAUGCACAUCACGCCAUCAAGCUGGGCCCUUGCCAUUAUCAAUAGGAGUACCUGAAACAUUCAAUAAAACUGUAAGGACAAGCUUAGUGAGUUUCCCAAAACACAUGAAUCAUAUAAUCACAUAAUACCAUGCACGCAUAUAAACAUAUAAGUUUGCCAUGGACUCCCUCUAUGGUCUUCAUUGGAAUGCCAUGGGCUACCCACAUGGUCUUAUAACCCUGAUCCAUGGGCUCCUCCCUUGGUCUUGCCAAAUACCAUGGGCUCCUCCUACGGUCUACACAUAGGUCCACAUAUAAAUCCAAUAGCAAACAUUUACAUAUUUCAAUAGAAAUCAUCUCGUAACCAAUAACGGGUCGGCCAUGGUGCCUUCAACCCAUGAGUGCGAUGAGAAGACUGACCUCAGUCUACUGAACACAAAAGUAGCUUGUCUGUAACAUCCCGGAAUAUCAAAAGUAGAGUUGAAGGGCUAAAAGUGUAAGUGUGAAAGGGCAACUCGGCGAGUCCACGAGUGGACUCGGCGAGUAGGGUCGCGACUCUGGUCGCAUGUUAAGUGACCAACUCGGCAAGUAGCAUGGGUAGACUCGACGAGUUGGUGCUGAGUGGAGAAAACCCUAAUUCCGAGGGUUGAGCCCUAUAUAAAGAGCAUAACACUUCUUCCCCAGCCACUUUGCCUUCCCAUUGAGUUCAAGAAACCCUAAAUUCGUGUGAAGCUUUCCUUGGUGAGGGAUUAGAGCCUUGGAGGAGGUAAUCUUGGAAGGAAAUUGAAGAGCAAGAAGAUUGGGGCAAGGGGCUUUGCAGAGAAUUGGUUCAUUCAUCAGUUGGAGCCUUCAUUUGAGGUAAUAAUCUCCUGUUUGAGCUUUUGUGCAUCUAGAUCUAUCAUUUGUGGGGUUUUUGGGGCAUAAAUGAGGUUCAUCUCAAGUUUGGUGUAAGAUCUGAGGUUGCUACCUCAGAUCUAGGUUAUUCACGAUCCUUAAAGCCAUAAAGUCUUUGCUCAAGAGUUGUGGUGAAGUUCUCUUGUCCCAAAAACCCUAGCCUAGAGUGAAUAUGGCUUAGAUCUCUUUGGAUUCACGUAAAGUUUGCCACUUUACGUGAUGAGUGGCUUGUAGCAGAAUAGAUCUAUGGUUUGGAGCCCCUGCAUGGCUUGGAAAGCCUCUGUAUGGUUUCAGAUCUAGGAGUACUUCGCGAGUCACAAGGGUGUACUCGGCGAGUUGCUUGAAGAUAGACUGGAACUCGACAAGUUGGAAGAAUAACUCGGCGAGUUGGAUGAAGAUAGGCAGGUACUCGACGAGUUGGAUGAACAACUCGGUGAGUCUGUUGAAUGUAGCCUUGGACUCGGCGAGUCUGUUCUUAGACUCGGCAAGUGUGGUCGUGAGGUUCUAACCUUUCUUCUGGUUGAGCCAUGAAUCGGUGAGUCAAGGGAUGACUCGGUGAGUUGAAUGUGAAAGGACUCGGAGUUGUGGGACUCGGCAAGUCUCAGGGUGACUCGACGAGUUGAGUUGCGAAUUGGGAAAAUUCUGAGCAUGGGGACUCGGCGAGUCAUCGGGUUGACUCGGCGAGUAGAUUCAGUCAGGGGAUGACUUUGACUUUGACAUUGACCAAGGGUUGACCAGUUGACUUCCAGGGGCAUUUUGGUUAUUGCUGGCAUUGUUUUGAAUUCAGUGUUUUGGUGUUGGCUAGUGGUGGAGAUUGUAUCAGUGGUCGGAGCAGCGUGGUCUAGUUAUCCAGUCGGCAAUUUCAGGUGAGUUAUCCUCACUCUAUCGAUGGGGUCUAAGGCACCAAGACCGGCCCCUUUACCGGAUGGAAAGCCGGAUAAUUGAUGAUUACUUCAUUGCAGAGCUAUGUUAUGAUUUGAGCAUGAGAUAUACGUGUGACUGGAAGGUCUUAUGUGCUAUGGAUAAUUAAUUAUGUGAUACGUAAUCCAUAUGAGUAAGGAUGCUAGAUGAGUAUGAGAUGUAUGUGAGACCGGAAGGUCUUAGUUCUUAUGAGGAGUAUUAGCUAAGUUGAUAGAUGCUAUGUGAUUCGUAUGAGUAGGAUUGCAAUAUGAGUAUGAGAUAUUUGUGUGACCGGAAGGUCUUGUAUGCUAUGAGUUGCAUGUUUUGUUUGCGUUAUGUAUGUGAUAUGUAUGCUAUGUAUGAUAUGGGCCGGAAGGCAUUAUGACGUGGGUCAGAAGGGAUUAUGACGUGGACCGGAAGGUCAGGGAGUCGUGGACCGGAAGGUCAGGGAGUCAUGGACCGGAAGGUCGAUACGAGUAGGACCGAAGGGUCUACUGGGAUGGGGACGGAAGUCCCCCUGAUACACAUGGACCGGAAGGUUGUGUAGAGUAUGGCCUGGGAAGGCGUUUGUGUGGUUGGUAUUUUGGGGGUAUCUCAUUAAGCUUUCGGGCUUACAGUUGUGGUUUAAUGUUUUUCAGGUUCUUCAGGAGACCGUGGCAAGGCAAAGGCGUGAUCGUACCGCUCCUCAUGAUUAUGUUUUAUGAAGUGGUUCUGGGAAAACUCUGAUAAUAAGCGUAUUGAAAACCUUUUUGUAAUAAAUUUAUGAAACCGGGUUGUUUUUGAAAAAUUUGAAAUUGGUUGAAUUUUUAUGGUCGUUACAAGUUGGUAUCAGAGCCUUGGUUUGAGUGAAUUGGAGGAACAUUCGUGUGAAUCCAGUCUCAAAUCAAGGAAAGUUUUCAAAAGAGAAUUUAAAAUGGUUUUCAAAAUGAGUAAAGGAGAACAUGGAGGUACGAUCAGCCGGAGCCAGUAAGUGACCCAAAAAUACCAUACAUGAUAUUUGUGUUGAGCUAUGAUAGAACAGCAUGCUAGUACUAGGCUAGGGAUCUUUAGGAUUUCAUGAUAAUGUUGCCUGAAUUAUGAUGCUUGUUAGCCUAUGGUUUCCUAUGUGAGAAGCUUCUAGUGUUCCUCUAGGAGUGAGGGUUGAGUGCUUGUUAUGUAUGUUCUUCACUAGGGCGUUGUGGUAUACUUGAUAUAAAAAUGGGUAGGUGUGGAAGGUAGUAUGGGCCCGUACUACUGAAAGCACAGGACCCAUACACGUAUCAAAGAAACCAUAACCUCUAGGGAUGGGUUGAGGGUUGGUUCUCGGGUUAGUAGGAAGUAUCUGAGAUCUUGCGGUGUUUUGAGGAUGGUGGUUACGAGGCAUGCUGGGAGUGGACCCAGAUCGGGAGCACGAGAGGGCGGUCAGGGUGGGUCAGUACCGCCCAAGGUUAUUGGUCAGAUGAGCACAUGUGAGUUGGAUGCUAGGGUUUGUGAGAUCCUGCAUGAUGAGGUUGCUGCGUUGUUCCGGCCCGAGUUGCCAGAACUGUUUGGGUCAAUUUAGACCGCCAUGGUUCAAUAUUUUGAUGAGCGCUAUGCGGCUCUCACAGAGACGGCUGCCGCGGCGGCUACAGCGGCUGUAGCAGCGGCAGNUUCGAGGUUUUCAGUACCGGGACUUCGAUAAUACGAAGCCCCCUACCUUCGAUGGAGUUCUGGACCCGAUUGUUGUUAUGAGAUGGUUGUCGGACGUGGAGGGGUGUUUCUUCACGUGUUCAUGCCCUGUUGAUCAGAGGGUGAGGUGUGCUCUGAACCUGUUAAGGCUCGGGGCAAGGGAUUGGUGGAGGUUGACCAUGGGGUCGUAUUCGUAUGCGCAGAGGGCUGCAGUUUCAUGGGAUCAGUUCUAGGAAAUGUUUAGCACUCGUUAUGAGCUGCAGGUUGAGAGAGAAAGGUUGGCUCAGGAGUUCCUAGAACUGAAGCAGGAUUCGGAGUCGGUGACGGAGAUCACCAGGAAGUUCACUGAGAGGGUGAUGUUUUUCCCUGAGUUUGCUUCGGAGCAGGCUCAGAUGUACCAAUAUCUGAGUAUGCUCAAGAGGGAUAUCAGGCAAUUUGUGUCUACACAGAGAUGCGAGACCUUGUUAGAGUUGCAGGAGGCCGCCAGGCGGCGCGAGUUGGAGAUUGAGUUGCAGUUGAGAGAGCAGAGGUAGGCCCCGGUAUAGUCGCAGCCGGCACCGAAACGGUCAAAGACCGUUGAUUCUAGAUUGGGAGAUCAGAGCAGCCGCACUUGUGGGAAGUGUGGGAGGGGUCACACCGGAGUCGGUAGGUCCGGUGGUGCAUGCCGUAAGUGCGGAAAGGAGGGGCACUAUGCGAGGGAUUGUCGGCAGACAGCCCCGGUUCGGAAUUUGAGGUUUUGUUAUCGUUGCCACCAGGUUGGACACUUGAGGGUCAACUGUCCACAGCUUGAAACAGGACUGGUGCAGGCUCCAGCACCGGCAACGUUGAGGAUUACGGGUGGAGGUCAGGGUGGAGCAGAGCCCCCGAGGGCUCAGGAUCGUGCUUUUCAGCUUACAGCAAAGGAGGUCAGGGCGGUGCCGGAUGCAGCUGCAAGUAUGUUUCUUCUUGAUGUCUUGUUAUCUUGUGGCUAUUGUGGAGUAUCGUUUAUCUGCUAGUCUCGGUGUGUGAUUUUUGGCAUUGUAUUUGUUGCUCCUUGAGGAUUAUGGUAUGGUUAUGGGUUUGGUGUUGGGAAUUUCGUUGGCUAUCAUUCGUGAGGUUUAUUAGUGAAACCUGGCUUUUGGUCUGAAUGUCGGGUAGCAUCUACAGUCUGAGGAGUAGCUGCUGAAGGUCGGGUUUCUUUUGAGCCAAGAUGAUCAGUGUUGUUAUGUAAUUUUGUGAGGGUUGCUCGUUCUAGUGGGAAUCAGUUCGCGUGUAAGGGUUUGUGUUGCGUAGCGUUGUCGAGGAAGGUCGGUGAUGGCGACCGGUGGUUAUUGUCACACCCUAAAACCAAGAACGGCAGAAACGUUCUGGGGCGGAGGACGUCAUGUAAAGUAUCACAACACAGUAAAUGUAAAUAAGCAAACAACAUCAUCCAUUGCAUUAAACAUAUAAUUUUAAUACAAGUGUGUUCUGAACAGUUAUAGACACCAAAAUAAUGUAAAACAAAAUAAUAUGAUGAGUCUUGAAUACGCUCCAUCUUCUCAAAAGCUGGCAUCGGUACCUGUCUACUGAAGACCUGAGAAUACAAGUUAUUUUGAAAGAGUUUAUCAGCAUUAAGCUGG